ACAGAGGGAUCGUUUUCCUAUUGGCCACGUCUCGUCAGUUAUGCACCAAGUCUGGUUCAAAUUCAGCAAGGUAAAGUGAAUCCUGGAGGCAAAAGAAAAAGGUGAUUAGUCAAUUUAACUAGAUCACUAGGGUUGUCCCUGUUUGGUUAAUAAACCGAGUAGCUGAACUUCCUUUGUUUAUCUCUUGAAUCCUCUUUUGCUUUUGAAACUAGGUUUUGGUGAUCUUACUCAAAAAUCCUUUGUUUAUGUGUGGUUUAGUCACUUUCACAUCAUAAGAUCAAUCCUGCUAUGGUUUUUUUUCAUAAAUAUGUGUGUGUAUGUAAAUACCAAAGCUGAAGAGACAAACGCAAAAGAGUAUAGAGAGAUAUAAUUAGGUUGGUGAAAAUAUCAUCACAAUGUAAAACCUUAAUUAGCUGGUAACUAAUUAACUACAACAGAAACAUUCUACAUUAUAUAUAAAUAUUUUACGGAUGUAAUCUUGUACUCGAAUCGAGAAAUUUAACUGCGCUGACGCAUUAGGAAUCCCCAACACCUCCAUAAAUAUUUUCUUUUGCAAAUUAGUUUCCAUUUAUUAAAAUUUAACAAGAAUUAGAAAAUAUAAACCUCAUAGGAAUUGGAAAGACUUGUUCAAGCUAGCGGAAGAUUCUUGCUCAUAUAUAUUAGUCAUCGCAAAUAAGUGUAUUGUUAACGACAUAACCUUAAGUUUUGGGCAAGCGUGAAAGGCUAAAACCCUCAUUGUCUAUGGAAUCCUUGUACUUGUCAAACCAGGUGGAUUAACCCUAGAAUGCGUUACGAGAUUGUAUAUGUAUGUUCUAGGAUACGAAAGCAAUAAAUUGUGCCAUAACUACAAAAUUUUGAGGCAGUUACAUAAUUAUUACUCGGAAAUCUAUAAGUUUAGCUCUGAUUCAUGGAGGCUUCUUGAUUCAUGGAAUGCUCAUUGGGGCAUAUUAUCUCGUGGCGGCGUGUCUUUCAAGGGAAAUACUUAAUUACUGGCUUGCUUUAUCUGAAAAUUCCACCACAAAAGGCAAUGACGUUUUACUACUAAGUUUUGACUUUACAACAGAAAGAUAUCAACGUCCGAGUCUUCCGUUUCAGAAUCAUCCCGGUGAUACUAUAGCUCUAUCAGUUGUUAGAGAAGAACAGCUUUCGGUGUUACAUUGGAGCUUUGAUACACUAGAGAUGGAGAUAUGGGUGAGUACUAAGAUCGAGACCACAGCUGUGUGGUGGAGCAGCUUCUUAAAACUUGGUAUAUACAACAUUCCGUAUUGUCUUUGGUCUUUACGUAAGUUUCUUCAUCAAAGAUGAGAAGAUAGUACUUGCUGUUUUUUGUGAUGACGACUUGAAUGUCACCAAAAACAUAGUAUACAUUAUUGGAAAACAAGAGUUUGAGUUCAGACAAAUAUCUCUUGGAGGAGCGGCAGACUUCUUAUGCUACUCAACUAUGUUCAAUUAUGUUCCUAUAGUUUGGUUCAGGAAGGUGUUGUAACAUCUGGUCGCAGAAGAAAAAGAAGAUAAGACAAAUUAUUUUCCUUACUGUAUUUCCUGUUUUUCCAAUUCUUUUUUAUUUAUUUAAACAUUUUACACUCUUUGAACAGGUGGAUGAAAUAUUUCACUUGAAAAGGGAUGUUAUUAUGUUCUAAGUAUAGUAUAGUUAUUAAUUUUACAUAAGUUGUUUUUCUUUUGUUUAUACGUUAAGUAACAUGCCUUUUACCAAAAAAUAAACGUCCCGUAACAAGAAGGAAGCACGGAAUCUUCGUCGGAGGUCCGUUUCCCGCUUCGGAAUCUUAGUCGGAAUCGGAAGCUCUUGGAAGCUUUCGGAAUCUCGCUUCCAUCGCGUUUCCAAAAAUUCCACUUUGGAAGCUCGUUGGAAGCUUACGAUUCCGGUUUGGAAGCUUGCGCUUCCAUUUUAUAAAUUCAAUUUUACAAAUAAAACAUGAAAUUAUUAUCUUUAUACAAACAAACUCAAACUAAAAAUUUUGCAUACUAAUCUUUGUAUUUUAUUUUUAACAAAAUCAUGUUUAGAAAAUAGCAAUGACAUGAAUCUAAUAUGUGAGAGAUAUUAUAAAUGAUUAAUUAAUUUAGAUUAAUUUCGAGAGACUUGAGUUUGAUAAUAUUUUUACCUAUAAUAUACAUAAUUUGAAACGAUUUUGUUUGAUGUUAUUUAAAAAAAGAAUGAAUAUAGUGUUAUAAUUUUUUUCUUGAAUUAUUUGAUUUUGUUUGUUGUAAAAAUUGGUUUAAUUUUUAAAUUUAGUUUUUAAAAGGGAGACUCACAAAAAUGCCCCUUUUUCAAUACCCUUUUUCAAAAAUGCCCCCUUGGCUGUACAUUUUUAAAAAUACCCUUUUUUAUGUACAAAAUGACUAAAUUACCCUUCAUUUAAUAAAAGAUAUCACAAAUAUAUAAGGAAAUAUAACAAAAUUAGGUCCACAAAAUACAAAAUAUUUUUUGGCGGGAAAAGUGAUCCCGCAAUUUUUCCCGCCAAAACACUUGUAAAAACUUGUAAAACCUUUAAAAUACCUUGUAAAAUUUUUUCCCGCCAAAAAAUUUUCCCGCCAAAAAAAGUUUUUUGCGGGAAAAGUGAUUCCGCAAAUUUUUGGCGUUAAAUUUUUGGUAGGAAAAAUUUACAAGGUAUUUUAAAGGUUUUUUACAGGGUAUUUAUAAGGUUUUACAAUGUAUUUUAAAAGGUUUUACAACGUAUUUAUAAGAUAUUAUAAGAUUUUACAAGCUAUUUUAUAAGGUUUUACAAGUUAUAAGGUUUUACAAGUUUUUUAUAAGGUUUUACAAGUUAUAAAUACCUUAUAAAACCUUAUAAGUACCUUGUAAAACCUUUUAAAAUACAUUGUAAAACCUUACAAAACACUUGUAAAUACUCCGUAAAACCUUUAAAAUACCUUGUAAAUUUUUCCCGCCAAAAAGUUUCCCGUCAAAAAAAUUUCGCCAAAAAAUUGCGUAAUCACUUUUCCCGCAAAAAAAGUUUUUUGGCGGGAAAAUUUUUUACGGGAAAAUUUUACAAGGUAUUUUAAAGGUUUUUACAAGUGUUUUGGCGGGAAAAUUGCGGGAUCACUUUUCCUGCCAAAAAAUAUUUUGUAUUUUGUGGACCUAAUUUUGUUCCAAAUAAGGGUAAAAUGGUCAUUAAAAAUUAAAAGAGGGCAAACUUAAAAAUGGACUCUCAAAGGGGGCAUUUUUGAAAAGAGGUAUUGAAAAAGGGGCAUUUUUAACAAUUUCUCUUUUUAAAAUUUAUUUAUUAGAUUUGUGGGGUUAAUAUAACUUGUAAUAUGAUAUAAUGUUUAAUAUUUAGUUAUAUAUAUAUACAUAUAUAUAUAUAUAUAUUCUUUAUAUAUACUAUACGCUUCCAUCGCGUACCGCUUCCGUAAAAUUUUCUAAAAUAUCGCUUCAGCGCUUCUAAACGAUUCCGCUUCCGCGUACCCGCUCCCGUUUCCAUGCAACAUAGGCUACAAGUGAUCCCAUGAUUUAGCUUAGAAUUUUUGUUAGUGUUGUGUCGUCAAUGUGGUACCAUCCGGUUAUAAAUCCAUAUUGCAUAUGGUCGACAACAACAAAAAUGACAAAAUAUAUCAUUGAAAGUUACAUUUGUAGAAUGAUCAAUAAUAUUGGUUAAAUUGCAAAUCCAUCAUUUGCAAUUUUGCAUAAGCAAAUAUAAAAAGACAAAAGCUUAAUAUUGAAGAAUAUAGUUUGGUAGAAUAGACAUAGGAAUGAUUAUUUUAGGACUAAAUAUAUGAUGCAGACUAUCAUACUUUAACUACUAUAAUUUAUUUAUACUUGUAAAGUAAUUAAACUAUAUGAUUGAAUCCUCCAUUCCACAUACAUGCAAAGGAUAUGAGAAUUUAUUCUCGUCUCAAAAGAAGUUCUUCACUUUUACAGCCAUGCAUCCAUCGGUCGGUCUCCGAUGCAUUUUCUUUAAAGAAUAAUGUUAUUUUAAACCUCGUAUAGAUCAUAUUAUAUGUUAGAUAUACGAAUGUGUACAGUGUACGUACGUGCUAAUUAAGAGCAUAUUAUAUACACGAGAGGUUGUAUUUGUAUACCACCAUUUCGUAGCUACUUCCUAUAUUCUCUCUUUCUACCUUCCUAUAAAUAUGUGCACUUAGAUGUAUGCUUAUGUUCGAAGAGUGGUUGUAUGUAUAAGAUAAAUCGAGAUGGGUAAGAGCAAGAAAACGUCAACAUUUUCAGUGAUAAGAGCUUUGUUACCGUGCUGUUCGAACAGUGGAGAUAAUUGGAGCGACGAAGGAGUGAUCAUAAGGUCAAGAAUCAUGACCAGUGAUGAAGAUGGUCGGCUUUGGAUCGCUGAGCCAGGGGUCGAUAGAAGAGCCACUUCUUUUAUCGCAAGGUUCUACGAGAACCGAGUUUCUGAUCCUAACUACAAAACCCUCUCUCCUUGAAUUGUUUUCCAUGCUCUUCUUGUCUUUUUGUUUUGUUUUGUUUUCCGUCGCUCUUCAUGUUUUUUUUUUUUAUCUUGUGUAAGUUCAUGGUAAAAAUAAUAACUUAACUACACACCCUGUGUUUGUUAGAAUUAUGUUUUAGUUUCUCUUUGUUGAUAUAUAUGAGAUUUAGAAGGCUUUGACUUCCACCGUCUUUAAAAUGAAAAAUUAUAUUCU
rnacentral:lncRNA from 1 species